GCAUUACCCUGUGAUGUCCAGCACUGGGCUCUGAUCUCCUGUGAGGACAUAGUGCUCUCCAGGACAUUUGACACCCCGGGGGUCUGAGUGGUCC